rnacentral:rRNA from 1 species
CUUACCAAGGCAACGAUGCAUAGCCGACCUGAGAGGGUGAUCGGCCACACUGGAACUGAGACACGGUCCAGACUCCUACGGGAGGCAGCAGUAGGGAAUCUUCCGCAAUGGGCGAAAGCCUGACGGAGCAACGCCGCGUGAGUGAUGAAGGUCUUCGGAUCGUAAAACUCUGUUAUUAGGGAAGAACAUAUGUGUAAGUAACUGUGCACAUCUUGACGGUACCUAAUCAGAAAGCCACGGCUAACUACGUGCCAGCAGCCGCGGUAAUACGUAGGUGGCAAGCGUUAUCCGGAAUUAUUGGGCGUAAAGCGCGCGUAGGCGGUUUUUUAAGUCUGAUGUGAAAGCCCACGGCUCAACCGUGGAGG